rnacentral:misc_RNA from 1 species
CAACCCUCAGGCCCUGCCUGGCGUUGGAGGACUGCGCUGCAGCCUCCCAAAGCGAGCGGCGGCGGCGCCCCACAACCGAACGCAGUAUUGUAUCUCGUUCUGGGUCUGGGACGUCGUCCGGCCGGAAAACACCCCCUUUGACGUGG